AACAUUGACAAAAAAAAAAAUGAUCCAAAGGGGCAAAUUGAUGGUCGAACUGGCAAAACAGAGACUAGACUCUACAAAUGUGAAGAACUUAGGCCUACCCAUUGCAGACAAUUUAGAAAAAGGUAACUUAGGCCUAUCUGUUGAUUCUUAUAAUCACAUCUAUCACCUUGGUUAGUCCUCAUGCGCUUUUUUUUUAUCUUGUAAGGAUUGGAUUUGUCUUUAAACAUAAUAUAGUCAAGCUAGUGUAUGAUAAAAUAAAAUUAAAUCGGGUAUAUC
rnacentral:lncRNA from 1 species